rnacentral:rRNA from 1 species
GACAGAGGGGGCAAGCGUUGCUCGGAAUUACUGGGCGUAAAGGGCGCGUAGGCGGGAUGGCAAGUCGGUUGUGAAAUCCUUCGGCUCAACCGAAGAACGUCGAUCGAUACUGCCAUUCUUGAGGGAUGCAGAGGAGACUGGAAUUCCCGGUGUAGCGGUGAAAUGUGUAGAGAUCGGGAGGAACACCGGUGGCGAAGGCGGGUCUCUGGGCCGUAACUGACGCUGAGGAGCGAAAGCAUGGGGAGCGAACAGG